GACGAACGCUGGCGGCGUGCCUAAUACAUGCAAGUCGAGCGGAAGUUGAAGAGCUUGCUCUUCAACUUUAGCGGCGGACGGGUGAGUAACACGUGGGCAACCUGCCCUGCAGAUCGGGAUAACUCCGGGAAACCGGUGCUAAUACCGAAUAGUUUUCGCCACCUCCUGGUGGCGUACGGAAAGACGGUUUCGGCUGUCACUGCAGGAUGGGCGCGCGGCGCAUUAGCUAGUUGGUGGGGUAACGGCCCACCAAGGCAACGAUGCGUAGCCGACCUGAGAGGGUGAUCGGCCACACUGGGACUGAGACACGGCCCAGACUCCUACGGGAGGCAGCAGUAGGGAAUCUUCCGCAAUGGACGAAAGUCUGACGGAGCAACGCCGCGUGAGUGACGAAGGUUUUCGGAUCGUAAAACUCUGUUGUGAGGGGAGAACAAGUACCACUUAACUACUGGUACCUUGACGGUACCUCACCAGAAAGCCACGGCUAACUACGUGCCAGCCGCCGCUGUAACAC
rnacentral:rRNA from 1 species